rnacentral:ncRNA from 1 species
GUUGGUGAAAGUAGAGAUACUUUCUGAAAAUGGAAUCAGGUGAAAAACCUGAGCUGUCCCGCAGCCGUAAAAGGGAGUUGAGGCAAUAUGUCACUGGGAAACUGGGAAGACGCUAAAACGAAGAACUUGAGCCGGAAUACAUGCCAACAUCUU